GGUGAUCGGGAUUUUUCUCUCAAGGGACGAUGAUCGGUUAUCAUUUGGGCCUUCUUUAUUUUAUAGUGAAGUGCUCACUUGGGGAAGAAACCUACUUGCCGCUGCUCAUUUGCCCUACGUAAGAAAGGAAGAAGACAUCAUAAAGACAAAUCAGUUAUUGAAAUCUCCUUGGAAAGAGAACGGUUGGAGGCUCCAGGGCCUUCAUUUCCAAUCUUCCUGACUUAAUUUUAAUGAUGCUCCAACUCCAUUCCCCUGGAGAUUAGUCACCUGAACUGGACUGCAAAUUGGUCAGUAAGCAAACAAGGCUCCGUUGCCAAUGCGAUUGUGUGAGCAAAGGUGCGUGAAACGGAUGGAAACGCCUUCCCGAGUUCUUAGUCGUGUUGGAGAUGGACAGAAAGAAAAUCUAUACUUGCCCUUUGUCAACGCGUUUCUGAAAAAGGCACUACAGUGGAAAAGGCUUCCAGGCAACAUUGACCAACAGAAUAAAUUUUCUUUAGUUGUAA